CGCGAGGAGAGAGUAAUGCGCAUGCGGGCGUGUCUCCCGGGACUCUAGAGCAGGCGAGCCCCCGGCACUUUCGGAUUUAUGCAGUGGAACUUUUCCCAAGUGGAUUCCAAGUAAUACCACAUAGACUGGAGACAUCUCAGAAAUGCCUGAUGGAGAUGCAGUGGAAAGUGGUUAGAAACAGCAUUUCACAGGAAUAGCCAAUGUCUGUUUUUCCCAAGGGUUUUCACAUGCAAAGCUCCUAUUAUUGAACUAGUAGAUUAGUAAAGCAUAUUGGUUGAGAGAAGCCCGGCACUUAAUUAUUCAACACAGUUAUUUUUAGUUCUGUUCUUUCACUAUCUCUGUCCCCUUCAAAAAAUGGCAUGUUCCCAACUAACACCUGUCAGUUUUGAGGCACCCUUAAACCUACACCUUAUGCAACAAAUAAAAGAUCUUGUGCAAGAAAAAUCUUAAACCAAACAACAGCUCAUAGACUUCUACCUACUUAGCGAUUUGUAGACUUUCUGUUUCAGGACGUCAUGUGACGUCUUCCACAUCAGAAGAGGUUCUGGGUUCCCCACAAGCACUUGCCACCAGGAACACUGCACUUCUGGAACAAAGGCCCCGUACCUGGCUGUUGCAACUUUGGGGCUGAACCUCAUUAAUCCUUGCUAGGUUCAGUGGUAAUUAUUGGAGAAUUGGAUGCUCCUCGGCCAGGGCCAGGAUCCUACAACAGUAUCUCUAGGCAACAUCUCCAAGCUGAGAGAACUUAUUUCUGGACUCAUUCCUGUCCUGUAAACAGGGCUGGCGUGAGCCUUCCAAAGAUGCUGGACCAAGACCAUGCUGGAGCAUAGGGUGCCACAAGCAAUGGUGGCCCAGACAGGGUUUGGACACAGCUACUGGAAGCAGGUAAUCAAGAGUGUGAAUUCAAAUUGUUACAAGUAGCUAUAAGGAAAAGGACUUAAUGUUUUACUUUAGCUCUUGUGCUGAGUUCUAGUCAGGUCGAACUACGGUACUACUGGGGCCCAUUGCCCAUUUGCAAGGCAUCCCGGAAAAUAUUCAAUGAAAUGAUAAUAGACCCUAAGACAGCUCAGAUUUGGGGAAGUAAAAUUUCUGCCCUAACACUCAUCCACAGCAAACCAUCUAUACGUGGCUGCUCAGAGUUGCUAAACCUGAGGCCAGAUCAUGAUCUAGAGUAUCCCCAGACGGGAGAGUUCUCAUAAAACAGUAUCCCUUAUGUGCCCACCCACCAAAUCGGUUUUAUUGCCGACACAAAUUUUAACCCUGAACUGCACCUUCCCACCCAGGCUUCCUGAGCUAAUCCUGUAGUCUCAAGAAUCUACCCAACAUCGUGCCCCAGGCUCUUGUCCUUGGCUUUUCUUAUACACCUCUGUCUAUUCUCUACCAGUUUGCUCUCUCUCCUCUGCUACACUGGUGCUUUGUUUUCUGGUUCAGGAUCACAUCUCUCCCCCUUCUGGUCAAGAUUUUCCAUUACAACUCUUAAUUUUUAGAUCCCUCUUCCAGCUCUUCACUUCAGCUCUAAAGUCUUGAGUGGGGAAAGUGGCCCCAGGUUGCUUUCCUAUCCUCAAGAAGCAGGGUGGGACAACAUGGAGGUAUGUGUUCUUAUUUUUGUGUUAUCUAAGAGACAUACAGGGAGGAAGAGAAAGCUCCCUCCCACCCUUAGCCACCAGUGGUUCUGCUCCCCAGAGCCAACCAGUGUUAACAGGUUUCUUAAAGAGGAAAUUUGGUUACCUCUGGUGCUCAGGAGUCAGGAAAGUUUUUCAGAAAUAGAAGAUCCAAAUCCCAUCCUCUCUGGGUAAGCUCCAUGGAAACAUAGAAGAUGAAGCCUGGCUCUCUGUAGGACAUCAGGAGGAGAGCUGGCCAUCUGCAAACCUUGACUGUAAUUCUCAAGCUCAACACAGUCAUUUAAUGAAUCUCUUUGGCUUUCAGGCUGAUCUCCGUCCCCAUCCGCAUUCUGGUUCAAAAUCCACACGGAAUGUUACAUUCCACAACUAGAAGUCCACGAGAAUAGACACCUUCCAGGGCAGAUCAUCCCAUCAGUGAUUUUAUCUAAUUCUUCCUCUGCCCCUCACACCACACUAUUUUACUUCCACCUGUCCCACUGGUAAUGAAAAAAAAAAAAAAAAACCAAAGAAUUAAAUAUUCACCAAUCUUUGAUUUUAAAAAACAUGUGGAUAGUUCUGCAAUGUUCUGAAUUCUGCCCCUGGUUCUGAAUCCUCAAUGAAAUGUUAUUAUUUAGGAAGAAUGUGUACCUGGCACCUGCUUUCCAGAGACUUCCUUUCAAAUCCAUUUCUUAGAAUUCAGAUUUGCCAGUGAACAUGCCUUGAUAAAUGUGGGUGCCAAAUGACUUGAGGCCAUCUAGUAAAGGACGGCGAUACCCUUGGGGAACUGUCUCUACGUCACAUGCACUGCUCAGCCAGCCUGCUAUUUGCAGACCACUUCACCUCUAGGUCCUUGGGAUUGGGUCUCACAGGGUCUCACGUGGCUCAAUUAACAAGAGGUUCCUUUGCUGCUGGAACUGUAUAUGUAACCCUGUGUUCUCCAACUGCUUCUUGGUUAGAUCAGACCUCUCAGAUCUUACCAGGCUUUACACACUAUCCAAGGCAACCCUCGUGUAUUUCUCUUCUCUAGUCUGCCGUAUCAGAUCCUUGCAAACACUUAACAGUUGCAUCACCCUUCUCCAGUAUUAAUAUCUAGAAAUAAAAAAGCUAUAGUGGGGAACUUCGAUACUUCCAACAACCCUUGGAUCUCGUAAAGGGGUCAACAAAAACUUUUUCUGUAAAGGAAAUGUCUUAGGAUUUGUGGGCCAUCCAGUCUGUGUUGUAACUGCUCAGCAUUUUAUUGCAAAAGCAGAUAUAGCUAAUACGGAAGUAGGUGAACAUAGCCGUGUCCUAAUAAAACUUUAUGGAUACUGUAAUUUGAAUUUCACAUGUUACAAAAUACUAUUUUGAUUUUGUUCAACCAUUUAAAAAUGUAAAAAACCAUUUUUAGACUUCUUAGCUUAUACACCACAGAAAAGCAGAUGAUGGGCCAGGCUUGGCCCAUGGACCAUAGUUUGCCUGCCCCUGGUCCAAUGUAUGUAAAGUGUGUAUAUAAAAUGACAGAUGACUGAUCCUCUUCCAUCGAUAAUGUUAACGCCAUAUUGAUCCACCAGUGUCUGACCACUUACUGCACGGAGACUGUAGAAUAUUGAAGGGAAUCUUUAUGAUGCCAGGAGAGUGAACUACAACUGAAUGAUGGACUGUUUAUCGUAACCACAUUCUGUUUCACAAAAUAAGUUCUAUGCUGUUUUUGACUAAAAGUGAUAUUACACAAACUACUACCUAUAUUAUGCCCUUAUCGUAUCUCAGAAACAAUUUUGGCGAUGCUGCAAAUGGUUCCAAGUUGCAACCAGUGAUAACAAGGAGCUGAAGGUGGUUCCAAAAUUGCCUUGACCAUGGGCAGCAUUUGAAUGAGUUUAUGUUCUUACCUAUGAAAGUGACUACUGUGGAAGCGACAACACUCACGAUUCAGCGCACGCUGGGGCCAAGGGUGUACCCUUGUUUUACUUGCUUUUCCCCCAAAGAGAGCCGUAUUGUGUCACCUUUAUUUAAACUGGUUUCCCAAAAUUGAGAUAGAAUCUCAGGAUUGAACAGAUGUUUACAAAGGUAUUUAAUCCAGCAAGUCAAGUUUUUCUUGAAUCCUGGAGUGACGAAAUACUACAGCUGCUGAAUAGUUGCAUCUGAAAGAAGGUUCUGUGUUAAUUCCAAAAAUUUUUGUCAAGCGACUAUAUGUCCCAGGCACUGUCCUGUGUGCUGAAGUGCAGCAAUGGAGAAAACAGACACAGGCCUUAGAUCUGACAGUCUAAAAUCUAAUUAUAUUACUCUUCACCCGGGUAGAACUUCUCUUCCAUGUGCCCACACUAACUUAUUGUUAAUUGCAUACCUGAAAAUAGGUAUGACCUUUGCCGUAAGUCUCUGUGCUGCGGUCGUGAAGCCUCUCCAACUGCGUGAAUACUUUGAGGACUCUAUGUUCCACUUAGAUUUUAUUAUCCUUUAGACAGAUCUGUAUUGGUAGGAAAACACGCUGGCAGUGUUGGAAGUGUAAAUUGGCAACAGCUUUCUGAAAAGCAAUUUGGCAGUAUCUAUCAGGAGCUUUAAAAAUGUUUAUAUCUCCUGAUCCUCUAAUUCCACUUCUGGGACUCUGUCCUAAAGAAAUAGUCUAAAAUGUGGGCAGAAUUUAUGCUUAACAACCCAGAAGUCCAACAGUAGAAAAUUGGUUAAAUAAAUUACAGUAUGACCAUACAAUAGACUAUUAUGCAGUCAUUAUAAUUAACAUUUAUGAACAGUUAAAACACCAUGGCGAAAUGCUUAUAUUAAGUGAAAAGGGUGUUAUACAAAAUAGUAUAUAUAAAUCCAAAAUUGUCUCUUUUUUUUUAAAGUUUAUUUAUUUUGAGAGAGAGAGAGAGAAAGCACAAGUCGGGGAGUGGCAGAGAAAGAGGGAGAGAGAGAGAGAAUCCCCAGCAGGCUCUGCACUGUCAGCACGGAGCCCCAGUUCAGGGCUCGAACCCACAAACAGUGAGAUCAUGACCUGAGUUGAAGCCAGUCACUUAACUGAUUGAGCCACCCAGGCUCAGUCUUUUAAAUGACCAGAACGGGUAUGCCAACUCUGUGUGGUUGGGUUAUAAGUAUUUUUUUUUUUAAUUUUCCAUUUCUUCUCUUUUAAACAACAUUUGUCCAAAUGUGAUUACUUUUAUCAGAAUAAGACAGUAGCACCAAAAGGUGGCGAUGGAAGACAGUGAAGGCCAAACCGCUAGUUUGGUCCAUGAAUAAUGAACUGUCUGGGUGGAUACGGAGGCUGUAUGCCAUUGCAUUGCGGGUAGCAAGAGUGGGACAGAAGGGAAAAGGGCCUGCCCGAGAGGAAAGGCAGGUGACCAGGAUCCCUACAAAAAAGGCAAAGUGGUAUGAGAAGGUACCAUGUUAUGUAAUCCUAGGUAAGUAAAAGCACGAAUGGAUCAGGUAUGUUCUGACAAUGGGAAAGGAUAUGGAAUACUCUCCUGAGCAAAAUUAACCUCAUUCUCGCAUUCUCUCAUACAAAGUGAAUACUCUCAAGAUGGAUUUUAUUGCAGUUGAUUCUCUGAAGAAUCCUUGAGCCUUCCAUAUCAUUUUUUUUAGGAUAGAAAUGCCUAUUGAUGUGCCAAGCCUGCCUCCUCCCAUACUGGGAUGCUCAAGCAACCUGGAUGCACAUGGAAAUAUUUGGUAUUCCAAACUGGGAAUCCCACAGCAUAUCAUGAGUCAUCGUAAUGUUGUAACUUACAAAACUAAAGUUUGCAAAUGUUAUUUUGGUGGGAUCUGGAAUUGCUGUGCUUUUUAUCUAUGUCUUCAGAGUAAUCGUGUUACAGGAUUUUAAAGUGAGAAAUGAUGUAGCUAAUGCCUAUCCAUAAAUGCGAGUGUUAUGUUGGGAAAAUGUGUCCUCCAUUGUUGCUGUAGCAAAACGUUUAUCAUUAAAAUGCCAAACAUCUCAGUAAAAUUUCAAACUUUCA